rnacentral:sRNA from 1 species
ACCUUAGGCCACUUCAGAGUAUUUGUAUUUUCGUUGACUAAGCCUUCUCACCAUGCAUUUGUAUUAUCAGCAGAUUUGGGAAUUUUCCGGCGGGCUGCCAUGGUGUUCUACACAGACUGUAUCCAGCAGUGUAGCCGGCCUCUAUAUAUGGAUAGAAUGGUGUUGCUGGUUGUGGGGAAUCUGGUUAACUGGUCCUUGUAAGUAGUCUUAUGAAAACAUGUUUUUGCCUUUAUUAAUGUCAGUAACACUGUGGUUUAGCUUUCCUUGACUGUCAUUUUUACAAAGAAAUCUGAAAUUAAGGAGAAGGUAGGACUGCUUGUUCUAGAGACUCAAAAAAAGGUAGUAGGACAUUCUCCUGUAGCAAUUGUAGCCUCUCUUAAAACACU